UACAGAGGUGGCAAGCGUUGUUCGGAAUUACUGGGCGUAAAGGGCGAGUAGGCGGCCUUCUAAGUCAGACGUGAAAUCCCCCGGCUUAACCUGGGAACUGCGUCUGAUACUGGAGGCUCGAGUAUGGGAGAGGGAUGUAGAAUUCCAGGUGUAGCGGUGAAAUGCGUAGAUAUCUGGAGGAAUACCGGUGGCGAAGGCGGCAUCCUGGACCAUUACUGACGCCGAUGACGCU
rnacentral:rRNA from 1 species